GACAGAGGGUGCAAACGUUGUUCGGAAUUACUGGGCGUAAAGCGUGUGUAGGUGGCCGCGCAAGUCGGAUGUGAAAGCCCUGGGCUCAACUCAGGAAGUGCACCCGAUACUGCGUGGCUCGAGUACCGGAGAGGUUGGUGGAAUUCUCGGUGUAGAGGUGAAAUUCGUAGAUAUCGAGAGGAACACCUGUGGCGAAGGCGGCCAACUGGACGAGUACUGACGCUGAGGCACGAAAGCGUGGGGAGCAAACAGG
rnacentral:rRNA from 1 species